GACGAACGCUGGCGGCGUGCUUAACACAUGCAAGUCGAACGGAAAGGCCCUGCUUUUGUGGGGUGCUCGAGUGGCGAACGGGUGAGUAACACGUGAGUAACCUGCCCUUGACUUUGGGAUAACUUCAGGAAACUGGGGCUAAUACCGGAUAGGAGCUCCUGCUGCAUGGUGGGGGUUGGAAAGUUUCGGCGGUUGGGGAUGGACUCGCGGCUUAUCAGCUUGUUGGUGGGGUAGUGGCUUACCAAGGCUUUGACGGGUAGCCGGCCUGAGAGGGUGACCGGCCACAUUGGGACUGGGAUACGGCCCAGAUCCUUAGGGGAGGAAGAAGUGGGGAAUAUUGCACAAUGGGCGGAAGCCUGAUGAAGAAACGCCGCGUGCGGGAUGACGGCCUUCGGGUUGUAAACCGCUUUAGCCUGUGACGAAGCGUGAGUGACGGUAAUGGGUAAAGAAGAACCGGCUAACUACGU
rnacentral:rRNA from 1 species